AAGUCGUAACAAGGUUUCCGUAGGUGAACCUGCGGAAGGAUCAUUACUGAGUUAGGGUCUUCAUGGCCCGACCUCCAACCCUUGUGUUAAACAUACCACGUUGCUUCGGCGGGCCCGUCCUCUCGAGGACCGCCGGGGAGGUUUCCACCUCUCUGGCCCGUUGCCCGCCGGUGGCCAAACCACAAAACUCUUGAUAAGCACUGUCGUCUGAGUUACAUUUAUUUAAUUAAAAAAUAAAA
rnacentral:misc_RNA from 1 species